UGGGGAAUAUUGGACAAUGGGCGAAAGCCUGAUCCAGCCAUGCCGCGUGUGUGAAGAAGGUCUUCGGAUUGUAAAGCACUUUAAGUUGGGAGGAAGGGCAGUAAGCGAAUACCUUGCUGUUUUGACGUUACCGACAGAAUAAGCACCGGCUAACUCUGUGCCAGCAGCCGCGGUAAUACAGAGGGUGCAAGCGUUAAUCGGAAUUACUGGGCGUAAAGCGCGCGUAGGUGGUUCGUUAAGUUGAAUGUGAAAGCCCCGGGCUCAACCUGGGAACUGCAUCCAAAACUGGCGAGCUAGAGUAGGGCAGAGGGUGGUGGAAUUUCCUGUGUAGCGGUGAAAUGCGUAGAUAUAGGAAGGAACACCAGAGGCGAAGGCGACCACCUGGGCUCAUACUGACACUGAGGUGCGAAAGCGUGGGGAGCAAACAGG
rnacentral:rRNA from 1 species